UUCGCAAUGCCCGAAAGGGUGACGAAGCGACGCCGCGUGGGUGAGGAAGGCCUUCGGGUUGUAAAGCCCUGUCAGGAGUUAAGAAAUAUAAGUGCGUUAAUACCGCAUUUAUUUGACGAAGGCUCCAAAGGAAGCCACGGCUAACUCUGUGCCAGCAGCCGCGGUAAUACAGAGGUGGCAAGCGUUGUUCGGAAUUAUUGGGCGUAAAGAGCACGUAGGUGGGUUUGUAAGUCAGAUGUGAAAGCCUUCUGUUCAACGGAAGAAUUGCAUCUGAAACUACAAGUCUUGAGUGUAGGAGGGGAGAAUGGAACUUCUGGUGGAGCGGUGAAAUGCGUAGAUAUCAGAAGGAACGCCGGCGGCGAAAGCGAUUCUCUGGCCUAUUACUGACACUCAGUGUGCGAAAGCUAGGGGAGCAAACGGGAUUAGAUACCCCGGUAGUCCUAGCCGUAAACGAUGGGCACUAA
rnacentral:rRNA from 1 species